rnacentral:rRNA from 1 species
GACGAACGCUGGCGGCGUGCUUAACACAUGCAAGUCGAACGGAAAGGCCCUGCUUUUGUGGGGUGCUCGAGUGGCGAACGGGCGAGUAACACGUGAGUAACCUGCCCUUGACUUUGGGAUAACUUCAGGAAACUGGGGCUAAUACCGGAUAGGAGCUCCUGCUGCAUGGUGGGGGUUGGAAAGUUUCGGCGGUUGGGGAUGGACUCGCGGCUUAUCAGCUUGUUGGUGGGGUAGUGGCUUACCAAGGCUUUGACGGGUAGCCGGCCUGAGAGGGUGACCGGCCACAUUGGGACUGAGAUACGGCCCAGACUCCUACGGGAGGCAGCAGGGGGGAAUAUUGCACAAUGGGCGGAAGCCUGAUGCAGCAACGCCGCGUGCGGGAUGACGGCCUUCGGGUUGUAAACCGCUUUCGCCUGUGACGAAGCGUGAGUGACGGUAAUGGGUAAAGAAGCACCGGCUAACUACGUG